UACGUAGGGGGCAAGCGUUGUCCGGAUUUAUUGGGCGUAAAGAGCGUGUAGGCGGCUUUACAGGUCCGUUGUGAAAACUCGAGGCUCAACCUCGAGACGCCGGUGGAAACCGUAAAGCUAGAGUCCGGAAGAGGAGAGUGGAAUUCCUGGUGUAGCGGUGAAAUGCGCAGAUAUCAGGAGGAACACCCGUGGCGAAAGGCGGCUCUCUGGACGGUACUGACGCUGAGAGACGAAAGCUGGGGAGCAA
rnacentral:rRNA from 1 species